AUUGAACGCUGGCGGCAGGCCUAACACAUGCAAGUCGAGCGGAGCGGCGGACGGGUGAGUAAUAACUAGGAAUCUGCAUGGUCGUGGGGGAUAACGUUAGGAAACGGACGCUAAUACCGCAUACUCUCAGCUGAGCCUAGGUCGGAUUAGCUAGUUGGUGAGGUAAUGGCUAACCAAGGCGACGAUCCGUAACUGGUCUGAGAGGAUGAUCAGCCACACUGGAACUGAGACACGGUCCAGACUCCUACGGGAGGCAGCAGUGGGGAAUAUUGGACAAUGGGCGAAAGCCUGACCCAGCAAGGCCGCGUGUGUGAAGAAGGUCUUCGGAUUGUAAAGCACUUUAAGUUGGGAGGCGUUACCGACAGAAUAAGCAACGGCUAACUCUGUGCCAGCCGCCGCGGUAAUUC
rnacentral:rRNA from 1 species